rnacentral:rRNA from 1 species
UGCAAGUCGAGGGGCAGCAUGAUUGAAGCUUGCUUCAAUUGAUGGCGACCGGCGCACGGGUGAGUAACGCGUAUCCAACCUUCCGCUUACUCGGGGAUAGCCUUUCGAAAGAAAGAUUAAUACCCGAUGGUAUGAUGAGAUUGCAUGAUAGCAUCAUUAAAGAUUUAUUGGUAAGCGAUGGGGAUGCGUUCCAUUAGGUAGUAGGCGGGGUAACGGCCCACCUAGCCGACGAUGGAUAGGGGUUCUGAGAGGAAGGUCCCCCACAUUGGAACUGAGACACGGUCCAAACUCCUACGGGAGGCAGCAGUGAGGAAUAUUGGUCAAUGGACGAGAGUCUGAACCAGCCAAGUAGCGUGAAGGAUGAAGGUCCUACGGAUUGUAAACUUCUUUUAUAAGGGAAUAAAACCUCCCACGUGUGGGAGCUUGUAUGUACCUUAUGAAUAAGCAUCGGCUAACUCCGUGCCAGCAGCCGCGGUAAUACGGAGGAUGC